UACGUAGGGCCCAAGCGUUAUCCGGAAUUAUUGGGCGUAAAGAGCUCGUAGGCGGUUUGUCGCGUCUGCUGUGAAAACCUAAGGCUCAACCUUGGGCUUGCAGUGGGUACGGGCAGACUAGAGUGCGGUAGGGGUGACUGGAAUUCCUGGUGUAGCGGUGGAAUGCGCAGAUAUCAGGAGGAACACCGAUGGCGAAGGCAGGUCACUGGGCCGCAACUGACGCUGAGGAGCGAAAGCAUGGGGAGCGAACAGG
rnacentral:rRNA from 1 species